ACCAACAUAGCAUACGAGGCAUGAGGCACUACCCACUCACCACUUGGCUUCCACAUACUUAGGAACAAAAUAUCCAUCACAUNCAUCACAUGCUCUUAUGCUAGGUAUGAUUUCAGGCGAGACUUUUAUCCACGUAACCUAAAAUCAAGAAAUCAAUGCAACAUAGAAAACAUCACACAACUUUAUGCAAAUCAGAGUUCAAGAUGCUUGCCUUUGGAGUUUGAGGAGGGUGAUGUGUACCCCAAAAUCUUGAAGUAAGUCCCCCCUCUCCAAAUCCUAUUUUGAAAAUAUUUGAAUUAAGACACAAAUUCAAAACGUCACAUAAAAGUUGAUUGAAUAUUUAUGUAAUAAAUCUUAAAAUAAACUAGAUGAAAUUUGACAGAGGUAGGAAAAAGAAUCAAUUGAUUUGGGGUUAUGGCUUAAAAAUUAUAAGCGGUAAAAGAUGAGUCAAACUCCUGUUUUAAAAUAAAACACAAAAAAUGAAAUGCUUCGGGGAUAAUAUGUUUCCUGAAAACGAAAGCGUACUUGUAGGAGGGCAUUUCCUAAGCAGGAAAACGCAGAAGUGGGCUGCCCCACUCGGGGGGCUAUGGCUGGCUCACCGACAGGCGGGGCCUGUUGUCGGGUUUGUCUCCUUCCUCUCGUGCACUGGGACAGAACCAGGGCCAGCUCCGGCGGCGAUUUCCGGUGGCACAUGCCAUCGUUCCCGGCGCUCGGCCUAUCUAGGAGCUGAAGAGGACUUUCCGCAUCGCAUGGAAGGGGUAGACACGACCGGGGAGCUCGAAGCUAGGCACGGUUUCGCUCAUGGCGGACGGCGGCGGCAGUUGAGAGAGGAACCUCGCGUCACUGGCGGCCCCUGACCUAAAUUGGGGUCGGGGAUGGGUCCCAAGGUGUAGCAGGGGGAUAGAGGAGUCCUUAGGGAGGAGGGGAGGCUCUACACAUAGCCGGAGGCGCCAGGGGGACGGCAGCGGCGCUGUGGUCGGAGGUGAGCAGGGAGAAAGGUCUUGUUGAAUUGGAGCGAGGGGGAGGG
rnacentral:lncRNA from 1 species